GAUACAGACAGCUGAAGAGAAAAAAAUAGUCACACUGUUCACUUCCUAUUCAGGAAGACAGAGGACUGUGAACUGGACAAACAAGAGGAGUCAGCGUGUUGUCAUGGAUACAAAUGUUGACAAUGAGGAUAACAGGUACACCGGCUGUUCAGGGUUGCGUGGCCAUGCGAUGAUGUCCCUGUAAAUCACAGGGCACAAAGCUGGACGCGUGGCAAGGGCUCCAUCGGAUUGGCCACUUACGUUUGCUCUAAGACGUACCUGGUAAGAAACAGAGGCUGCGAUCAGCCUAUGCCAUAGGUACAGUGAUCCCAUCUGUCCCGCUCAGCAUUCUAAGAAAGCAGUGUCCUGCCUCAUGCACACAGGGUGCCUUGAAAGACAAAGCCUGUACCUCCCUGAGCAGCUGUGGAUUAAGAGAUGUGAUGAUGGUGGGGCUAGAGAUACGGCUCAAAGGUGAAAAGACUUGUAUUCGGCUCCCAACAU
rnacentral:lncRNA from 1 species